UCACUAUGAUGAAUGUUUUAUUCACCAUUCGCAGUUUACUCCAGAAGGGUGUUACCCUCGUGUUGGCGAAAUCUUCCUUGGAUGUCUGAGUGA
rnacentral:snoRNA from 1 species